ensembl:lncRNA
AAUGGAAGAUCUCAAGGAACAGAGAGUAUGGAUUUAUGGGGUUACAUAUAUCUCCAGCCACACUGUGAGCAAUGGGAGAACACCAGAUGCUGCUCCCUUGAGUUGAGAAAGGCCUUUGACACGUACUCAGUUUGUGAUAUACAGAUAAGUGUACAGUGAGUGGAAAAACAGUGGGAUGAAAGUUUAUGCCGGAUCAAGAGGUUGUGAUCAGCACACAAACUUCAGCUCACGUAAAAUUUCUAGUGACAUCCUUUGGGACCUAAUGUUGGUACUAAUACUCUUGAGUAUCCUUAUGAAUGACCUUGGAAAUGGGACAGAUUGUCAUAUGAACAGAUUUUCAGACAUGAAUCCAAGAAGAGAUUAUUGACCCAUUGGAGAGCAGGGCUGCUAUUCGUCAUUACGACAGACAGUGAUAUCAACAAGGUUCAACCCAAGUGCUGCAUCUGUGUUGGAAAAUUCCCAUUAAGCAAUACAGCCUAGGGAUCAACUUGGUACAGAGCAGCUUUGCUAUAAAGACUGUAGGUCUUGGUGGACACUGAGGUGACCUUGAGUCAGUAGUGUGCUUCGUGACAAAGAAGGACAACUGCUGACAUACUGGAGCGAGUGCAGAGAAACACCACCAAGAGCACAGGAUAUUGAGGAAGAGGACAAGAUCUCAUAUUUCUGUUUACAGGAAUCUGUAUGAAAGGUAGAGAUAAUGGAUGGAGCCAGAUCUUCUCAAAGGACCAUAGGAAUGGGAUAAAAAAAGCAAGUGAUAACUUAGAACGUGGGAAAUUUCUAUUAGAAAUUAGGAAAAAGUUUUCACUGAUGGUCAAAUGCUGUCUGUACAAGAUGUGGAAGUUCAGAAAACAUGCAGCCUGCAUAUUCUAAAACUUCUGAAGCAAUUACAAUGCUCCUGCAGACACAUUAUCAGUUGUGAACCUGAUUUUUGACAUCAGGCAUAGGUAAUGAUAAAAUAAAUGCUGGAAUAUAACUUAAUACUCAGCUAAGAAUUAAUGUAACUCAUGUGCAGAGAUGGCAGAAGUAAACUUAAAAAUGCUACCAGUUAGACGAAAGAACAAUCUUAGUCUGUGGUUACAAGAGCUAGAUGUGUUGCUCUUAAUCAAAGAAUCGGUUUCACAGUUUCAGUUAGCACCUCCGUAACGUGUGGUGGAUGGAAAAGGGUAAUCAGCUAGGGCUGACUCGUUGGUGGAGCUUCACAGAAAAAUCUGUUUUCAAUAUCAGUGUGAACUUCCAUUUUCAUCAUGGCAUUUUCACCAUGCCACACUGAGCUGUAGUUAUUUUCACAGCUGAGUUACUUCGUUAUCACAAGCCUAUUACUUCUCCAUUAAAAACUGUAUUGAAAAACUGUAAACUUGAUUCUGUGUACAUUCACAAAACACAAAAAUCUAGCUACGACAUUAGCAGGAAUGCACAGCUUUCCACAGUGCAGUGAAGGUUCAGAAACUUCAGAGUAUUUCAAAGGCAAAUGAAUAUGAGAACAACCCAUGGAAAAUAUUGUUGUAAAAAGUGAAUAAAACAGAAGUGUCUGAACUG